rnacentral:lncRNA from 1 species
GGAGGACCCAACUAUGAGACCUACAAUGCGGAAGGUGACACAAAUGCUUGAUGAAGCAGCUGCAGUCCCAAGCCCUCCUGAUCCUACUUCCUUUGUCAGUACACUGGCAUAGCAUCACUCCUGCAUAUUGUCAUAUAUUAGUAUAUGUAUGAAGCAAUAAAAUUGUGUGGGAAAUUAGAUACAGAUAUCUACUGAAAGUUACGUCUGCUGAUACUGUAGUGUUAUUAUGUGUACUGUAAAGAGCGCAGCAGUACUGUCUGCGGAACGAAAUGCGAACGGGAGUAUCCUUCAAGUGCCGCCGCCGCCACCGCUCCGUCUCCAUCACCGCUGGUCCCCCUCCCUCCCUCCUCCGGCAUAUCGCCAGAGGCUAGAGGGAGUGGGGAUCCAUCGUUUUUAAUAAGUUUUUCCUAGUCGAAUUUUUAGGAUUAAGGUCUCUCCAUGCCAAGAUUCUUGGUUUUGGGGAUUUAUUUCCUCCUCUCCGGUGACAGGGAGAGAGCAGGGUGGAAUCAUUUUCUCCAUGGCGGCUUUGUUGAAGAUGCAGGCAACAACUACGGCGUUGAAAUCCCCACAUGGGGACUUUUAUUUCCGGGCGGCGACAUCAAGGUGGAGAUGGUGUCGCUGCUAUAGAAUAAUUUUAUCCGGUCUCUACUCCAUUUUAUUGUGGUUAGAUCUAGCCAUGAUGAAGGACUAGGGAGAAUAAGUUUCAGAUCAGUCUUCCUCAUUCUUCGGUGGCAGAAAGAAGAAGGAAGACACCAGAAAGAAGAAGUUUCUCAACUCCACCUACAUGAAUGUUGGCCGUCGUUCGUUGGGCAUCUGUUCUCAGGCCUUUUGCCGAGUGUUUGCCUGUGUGGUCAUCCAUACUGCAAAGCGUUGUACAGGUUUGGUUUUGAGAUCUGGAGCUAUUCACAACAUGGGUACAAUUUAGAUGAAAAUCAUUUUCUGGAUAUUUAUGUAAUCCAGAAUGCUUGUAACGUGUUCAUGUAUCCAACCAUUAUUUAAUAUAAUUAUUCUUUCAUCGCAAAAAAGAAAAGCAAUAUUGUCUGCGGCCAUAACAGACUGUAGUAAAUAUAUUAGGAAGGCUUCAUCUUCCCAAAUUGAAUACCUGUUUCCUUAAAAUAAAUUAUUUUCCAAGAACAAAUUAGUUACUUGUAUGUGGUAUAUCAUCUAUUGGUUAUUUAGGUUUGUGACUUGAUGAUUCUAUCCAUAAUUGUUAGGAGAAUUGCCAAAGGGCCUCUAGUCCAGUUGGUUAGAGGAACCCGGCGGCACUCCUUAGGUCCUGAGUUCGACUCCCCGUGGGAGCGAAUUUUCAGGCUAAUGUUAAAAAAUCUCCUCGUCUGUCCCAUGCCAAAGCACAGGUCUAAGGCCCGGUCCCAUUCGUGGUCGUUCUCACAUGGGCUACGGUACCGCUGUGUAUGGGUGGGGCAGGGAUUCAGGGAUUUUCUCGACCUGCGUGAGAAGGUCUUCUUCUUAAUGCAACGCCCGGGGGCUGUCUUACCCCCCGCAGGUCGAGUUUUGCUUUUUUUUUGUUAGGAGAGUUGACUUGAGGCAGUGGCCAGUGAGAUUUACUGCAAUCAUUAUCCAUUGGCCUCCUCACAUGACUAUGGAAGAGCCCAAGGGGGAGUAAGAUGAGCGUCUUACCAUCAAUCCUCAGAUCCAUGACAUACAUGCACAAUGCACUGAGAUCAAGAGCUUAUUAAGCCUUCAACUCCCUACGGGAAAUGAAACACAAGCAUAAUUUAAGAAUAAAUUGGGAUAAGUUCUAUGUUUGCCUUUUUUUAAUUCUAGAAAAAACGAAGUUAGUUUGGAAGUGCUAUGUCCUUUACAUGUUUGUAUUACAGAAGACAGUUUCACUUGUUUCCACCAUGCAGGAUUGCAGCCUGAUGCAUUUAUCUGCUAAAAUAAAGGGAACAAAGCCAAAUACUUCACCAGUAACAGAAAUGAAAUUUUAUUAGGAACAAGGAUUAAAAAUUUUCCACUUCGAACAAUUAUAGUAAAAAUAUUGAUCCACUCUCACAACCUUAGAAGUUCCAACACUAGUGUCCUAAGUUUAUAAGUUUUCUUGACGAUUGGCAGUGUAACAAAUCGAGCUUUAGUUUCUGAUGAUGAUUCUGGUAGCUUGGGAGAUUUGGAAGCACCACUGUCUGUUUAACAGGGAGGUGCCUGCAAUUGUGCUAAGAUUAUUUUCUGAGGAAUGCAUGGUGCGGUGUGCUGCUGGUGCCAAACACCUUCAGGUUCUGAUGGCAGUUUAGUAUUUUACCAUUGUGUUCAUGUGGCAGCCUGGUCGUUCCUUUCUCCAUUUAGACUGGCAUUCCUGUUCUAGAACAAUGGUGGUGUGGGUGUUGAGUUUGGGUGUGCCGUGGACCCAAUUCUUCCCUUCCCUUAAUGAAAUGACACAGCUCUACUGCAUGUUCAAGAGGGGGAAAAAACAAAUCAAGCUUUCAAGAAUGGAGAAUCGAUAUUACAACAUCCUUGUCACAAGGGCUGCAUCAAGGUCAUCGGAGACAGAGGAUCACCUUGACGCAACCUUCACCCAAAUCUUCCCUUCCCUUAAUGAAACGGCAUGCAGUUGUUUAGGUGUUCUAGGUCAUGGUCGUGUUAUUUUGUAUCUCAAAGGAAUGAAUGUAACCUGAAAGCUUGAGUGUGUGGUUUGUGUUUUGGUUGGGUUCUUAACUUCUUAUACCCUCUUUUCUUGUUUAAUAUACAUGUUCAAGGAAAAAAUACGGCAUGACAGAAACCCCUUCAGUCCAGCCAUACUUGGCUUUGGAUGUGUCAAGAAGUAUAUAAAAAUAAGGAUGCUGGUCACUAGAACAAUAUCGUGCACAAUUUCAAAUAAUUAUUCUAGAGCAUAUUCUUCUCACUGCUGCUAGAGGUUCAUACUGAGAACAUACUCUUUGGUCACACUAGCUUUCCAUUGAAAAAUGAAAACAAGAUGCUGAUGCAGCACCAUUCAAGCACAAUUCAUUCUCAAGCCUCGAUUACUACAGAAUUCUUUCAUGUGAAAUAUAUUGUUUUCCACUACAACUAACACUCUUAAUUGUUGCAUAAAGGCCCCCCAACCACACCCAAAAACAUUAUGUGCUAACUUUACAUUGAAAAAAAAAUGCAACAAUUGCUCCUUAUACCAAGUUAAAUUAUGGUGUAAGAAUAUCAAUCACCUUACAUUAGUAGAAGUUCCUUUCAAAUACAGGCCUAAUGACCAAUGUUUUCAGGUCGUCCGAUUAAUCGCGAUUAAUCGUCCUGGUCGGUCAGGAGUGCUCGAUUAGGAGGUCCAACCCGACCAGGUCGACCAGAAACCUGGUCGUCCGAUUAGUCGUCCACUUAUCGCGAUUAAUCGUCCGAUUAGGACAUGGACGACCAGGUUUUGUGCUCUGUUUUUGGGCUUUUUUGACUGGGCAGAUAUGUGGGGGGUAUGGAGAUGCUGUUGGUUGUCCCAGUUCUCCAGAAAUAGUUAAGGAGAUGUUGGUUUACAUCAAAAAGAGUUCAAGGACUGUUCUAGAGGCGCCAGCACAAGUUGAAGAUGAAGAGGAAUGUUGGUUUACACUAAUGCAGUCUUGAUGCUUCCUUUAUUGUGUAUAAUAUAGUGUAUAUAUAGAGGUAUAUAUAUAGGUCGACCAGCUGAUAUGCCUGGACGACGACCAGGGUCGAUUAAUCGACCUGGUCGCUGAUUAAUCGCGAUUAAUCGCCUGGUUGGUCCCAGGUCGACCAGGAUCGAUCAGCCGACCAGAAAACAUUGCUAAUGACAACAGUUUGUUUAAGAAAACAAAUGUCUAGGAAAGGCUACACAUUGGAGUUGGAGGUCAUUGUAUUGUCAUUUAAGAAAUAAAUUUCUAGAAAAAAAAACAGAAUCGAAGGGCUUGAUUACAGAAAAUUGAAUAAUAAGUGGAUCAAAUCAACAAAAGUGGACUUUGAGGGCUUGAUUGGACAAUCUGAAACAGUGAUGAUGCAAAUUCAUCACAAAUAAUUUAUCAGACCAACUUUAGCGCAAGCUGUGGCAGACGUUUCUCAACAUAACAAUGUUCACAUUAGUAGUCAACCUUCCCAGAAAUUGCACUAUACCUAUAUGUGGUUAAACAUUAAAUUCACAGAAAGAAUACAGUAGCAUUAAAUUAGUCAGUUGGGCUAUUCCUAGUGCACUGUUAUAUCCAAAUCCAAGAGACCACAACGGCCAUGUCACUAGGAUAUCAUUAAAAAGAUGUGUAGAAACAACUCCUACAAAGCACUGCAUAAUAUUGUUGUUUCCUAGGACAUUCAAAAUAAUUUUGGUUGUCCCACGUUUGUGUCUAUAAAAGUGGACAAAAAAAUGCGAACACAAUUGUUAAUCCUGGAUAUCAAGCCCAAUUGUAUAACCAUGAUGAUAUAGCUUUCUUCUCUCAAUUCUUUAAUCAUGUGGCAUGCCAUCAAAAAACCUUACAUGGCACUCAUUUAAUGUAUAUGAUACAAUGCACUGCGAUUAACCCUCCAGAGAACUCUAAGGCUAGGUAGGUGACAUAAUUGUAUAAUGGAGUAGUGCAAAUUCAACGCCUCCUAAAUCCUCAUCCUACUUAAUCAGUUCACUUCUGUAAUGUCCAGCUUGAUAAAUAAGUUCCAGUAUGCAGCAAGAGAAUGCUAUAGAUCAUUAGACAUACAUGCCUAUAAAAAGCAUUUGAAUGAUGGUACUCAGGCACUCAUGUUUUCAUGCAAAUAACUUGCAUGAAUUAUGCAUCUGUGUAUGCAAUAGGAAUAUAGGCCUUGUUUAGUUCCCAGAAAAUUUUGCAAAACUUUUCACAUUCCCCGUCACAUCGAAUCUUGCGACACAUGCAUAGAACAUUAAAUAUAGAUAAAAAAAAUAACUAAUUACAUAGUUUGCCUGUAAUUUGCGAGACAAAUCUUUUGAGCCUAUUUAGUCUAUGAUUGGACAAUAUUUAUCACAUACAAACGAAAGUGCUACAGUGUCCAUUUCCCAAAAAAAUUUGGAACUAAACAAGGCCUUAAUAUGCAUAUGCUUGAACCUCACUAUGUGAAACAUUCUGUGCAAUAGAAAAGGAGACAAUGCUGCGUCUUUUGAGAGGCUGAGGCUCCAGUAUAACAAACACCGAUGCCUAUAAAUGCAUGAUGUCCUGACCAUUGGGCAUCAAAAAAAUCAUAACAUAUGUUGUAUGUAUAUGAUAAAUCUAGAGAGUGGUAUUUUCUUGCAUAGUAUUUUACUACCCAGAAAAUUAGAAAAGCUGUUUUCAUGGUGUACCUUUGUCACUAGAUGCUUUUAAAUAUUAGAAGAGCAAAUAUCCUCCUCCUAAUAAAUUAAGCGUAUUCCAAGAGAGAGAAAAGAAAACUCAGAAGGAAGAAAAGGGAGAGGGGGCACCAAGCAUUUACAUUCCUAUUUGCCAUGGAAAAUGACAAGUGCACACUGAAAUAUAAGGUUAACAGGUAACGACAAACCUAAAAUUCCACCAGCAACAUUCAGGCCUUGUUUAGUUCACCGCAAAAACGUAAAACUUUUCAAGAUUCCCUGUCACAUCGAAUCUUGUGUCACAUGUAUGGAGCAUUAAACAUAGAUAAAAACAAAAAUUAAUUGCACAGUUUACUUGUAAAUCGUGAGACAAAUCUUUUAAGCCUAGUUACUCUAUGAUUGAACAAUUGAACAAUAUUUGUCAAAUAAAAACGAAAUUGCUACAGUGUCAAAAUCCAAAAACUUUUUGGAUCUAAACAAGGCCUCAGUUUAGUGCCAAUCUAUCAGUAGACAGAUUAUGCUCCUUGAUUCGAUUGAUUUAAACAAGUACUAUUCCUACAUACUCACUGUGGCCAAAAAUACAAAUGACUACGAGAACCGUGGCGGCCCGGCGAACGGAGGAUCUACUUGCCUCGGAGUCGGAGGGGAGCGGAGUAGAGGACAAGGAGCGGCGGCGGGCAGACGGAAGGAGGCAGCGAAGGGCUCUGCUGCUUGGAACGAGGUGGGUGGUCUUGGAAGGCGGGAAGGGUCGUCUAAAACUGUCCCGCUGCAACGGGCGGCCGUAGUGGCGGAGGGCAGAGGGGAGGAUGGGGGGACGGCGGCGGGCGGCGGCCAUUGGCGUGGGGAGGGGAGACCUCGAGGAGGAGACGCCUGGCCCACUGCACAUAACGGCGGCGGCCCAGAUGAGGUGA